rnacentral:rRNA from 1 species
GAUGAAUGCUGGCGGCGUGCCUAACACAUGCAAGUCGAGCGGUAACAGGAGUAGUUUACUACUUGCUGACGAGCGGCGGACGGCUGAGUAACGCGUGGGAACGUGCCCCAAAGUGAGGAAUAACUGCCCGAAAGGGUAGCUAAUACCGCAUAUGAUCUUCGGAUUAAAGGAUUUAUCCGCUUUGGGAGCGGCCCGCGUACGAUUAGGUAGUUGGUAGGGUAAUGGCCUACCAAGCCGACGAUCGUUAACUGGUCUUAGAGGAUGAUCAGUCAGACUGGAACUGAGACACGGUCCAGACUCCUACGGGAGGCAGCAGUGAGGAAUCUUCCACAAUGGGCGAAAGCCUGAUGGAGCAACGCCGCGUGCAGGAUGAAGGCCUUCGGGUUGUAAACUGCUUUUAUAAGUGAAGAAUAUGACGGUAACUUAUGAAUAAGCACCGGCUAACUACGUGCCAGCCGCCGCCGUAA